UAAGGAGAUGCCUGCUGGGACUUGGUCUCAGGCAUGAGUCUUUUCUUCCUCCUUCCUGGGAGGGGUUGGAACUAAGCCUCAAAGCAGAGUAGCUGACAACGUGGCGUGGGAGAGGCUUGGAUGUGUCGCUGGAGAGAAACAUUCUUGCCACCCCCACCCUAAAGAGGCUGCGGGGACAGGCAGCCCAGCCCUCCUGGCCUAUUUUCGGGCUGGAGAGAGGUUCAGUCUCAGGCACAGUUUUGGGAGGCAGAUCAGCCUCCCUGUUCCGGCCUCCCACUCCCAUGGAGCUCUCUGCUGCCUCUUCCAAGGGGCCGCAGAUACCCGUUCCUUGCUCUAUUUCUUCACCAGCCCUACCUGUUCUCAGUCCAUUACCUCAUGGCCCUGCUCUCUGCUUACUAAAGUGACAAUUCGUCUAUAAGGAAGCCCUUGCACUGUAGCUGAGGAUUCGCGAGGCUGCACCCUCAGCAGGCACUGUGGCCACACAGCACUGGCCUGAGAUCUGAGUUCCUGGAGCCUCGGCCCUGAGGCCCAUGGCCAUAGAACAAGCCAUUUUCAACAAAAGGACUUGCAAAUUCCUGCCUUAGGGCUCCUUCUGCACAGGACAGACCUUUCAUCACCAACCCAACUUGUAAUCUUGGGUAAAGAAGGUUCUCAGCUCAUUUUCAAGAAGAAAAAAAAAAUGGAAGGAGCUAGCAGCCCCAAAGUACUUCCACUGAAGCCUUUGGAAAAGAGGGAAGACUCCAAGUCUCUGGCACCUGCAGAAGAGGGGAAUCUUGAGAAGUAGCUGACGCUCCGAGUUUACAUGUCCCCUUGAAUACUCUUUAUUCCUGUCUUAUUUCAAAUCCUGGUGUCAUCAGGGUGAUGAAGG
rnacentral:lncRNA from 1 species